UACGUAGGGUGCAAGCGUUAAUCGGAAUUACUGGGCGUAAAGCGUACGCAGGCGGCUUUGCAAGACAGGUGUGAAAUCCCCGGGCCUAACCUGGGAACUGCAUUUGUGACUGCAUGGCUAGAGUUUGUCAGAGGGGGGUGGAAUUCCACGUGUAGCAGUGAAAUGCGUAGAUAUGUGGAGGAACACCGAUGGCGAAGGCAGCCCCCUGGGCUUAAAUUGACGCUGAGGCACGAAAGCGUGGGGAGCAAACGGG
rnacentral:rRNA from 1 species